UGUCCUCAACUAAAGAAAUUCUUAGUUGGCUAACACUUACAUGAUUUUGUCAACUAAUCGAUUUAAUCAACAGAGCUGUGCGCUUUGAGAGGUGGUUAAGACUAGAAAAGCACAAUAUAAAUAUAGCUAAUUAACCAUCUAUAAAACUGAGUUUCUACACAAUUAAUCCUGCAAAAGCACCACUUUAAAUCUUGUGCUUACCAAAAAUGUGGUCAUAAGUUUCUUGGAAAUGAGUAGUUAAAUGUGAAUAAGCAUAAAAAUGACUUAUCAACUAAAGAAAUCUUAGUCGACUAAUACCAAAACCACAGAUUAGUCGACUAAGAGGGGACAGCCCUAGAUGUUAGAUUUAAAAAAAC